AGUGAUCCCACCCUGAACGCACCCGACCUUGUCUGAUCUCGGAAGCUAAGCAGUGUCGAGCCUGGUUAGUACUUGGAUUGGAGACCUGGUUCCAUUU
rnacentral:rRNA from 1 species